GAUGAACGCUGGCGGCGUGCCUAAUACAUGCAAGUCGAGCGAACAGACGAGGAGCUUGCUCCUCUGACGUUAGCGGCGGACGUGUGAGUAACACGUGGAUAACCUACCUAUAAGACUGGUAUAACUUCGGGAAACCGGAGCUAAUACCGGAUAAUAUAUUGAACCGCAUGGUUCAAUAGUGAAAUACGGUUUUGCUGUCACGUAUAGAUGGAUCCGCGCCGCAUUAGAUAGUUGGUAAGGUAACGGCUUACCAAGGCAACGAUGCGUAUCCGACCUGAGAGGGGGAUAGCCCACACUGGAACUGAGCCACGGUCCAGACUACUACGGGAGGCACCAGUAGGGAACCUUCCGCAAUGGGCGAAAGCAUGACGGAGCAACGCCGCGUGAGAGAUGAAGGUCUUCGGAUCGUAAAACUCUGUUAUUAGGGAAGAACAAAUGUGUAAGUAAAUAUGCACGUCUUGACGGUAACUAAUCAGAAAGCCACGGCUAACUACGUG
rnacentral:rRNA from 1 species